AGCUAGUUGGUGAGGUAACGGCCCACCAAGGCGACGAUCGGUAGCCGGACUGAGAGGUUGAACUGCCACAUUGGGACUGAGACACGGCCCAGACUCCUACGGGAGGCAGCAGUGGGGAAUAUUGCACAAUGGGGGAAACCCUGAUGCAGCGACGCCGCGUGGAGGAAGAAGGUCUUCGGAUUGUAAACUCCUGUUGUUGAGGAAGAUAAUGACGGUACUCAACAAGGAAGUGACGGCUAACUACGUGCCAGCAGCCGCGGUAAAACGUAGGUCACAAGCGUUGUCCGGAAUUACUGGGUGUAAAGGGAGCGCAGGCGGGCGAUCAAGUUGGAAAUGAAAUCCAUGGGCUCAACCCAUGAACUGCUUUCAAAACUGGUCGUCUUGAGUAGUGCAGAGGUAGGCGGAAUUCCCGGUGUAGCGGUGGAAUGCGUAGAUAUCGGGAGGAACACCAGUGGCGAAGGCGGCCUACUGGGCACCAACUGACGCUGAGGCUCGAAAGUGUGGGUAGCAAACAGGAUUAGAUACCCUGGUAGUCCACACCGUAAACGAUGAUUACUAGGUGUUGGGAGAUUGACCCUCUCAGUGCCGCAGUUAACACAAUAAGUAAUCCACCUGGGGAGUACGACCGCAAGGUUGAAACUCAAAGGAAUUGACGGGGGCCCGCACAAGCAGUGGAGUAUGUGGUUUAAUUCAACGCAACGCGAAGAACCUUACCAAGUCUUGACAUCCCUUGACGAUGCUGGAAACAGUAUUUCUCUUCGGAGCAAGGAGACAGGUGGUGCAUGGUUGUCGUCAGCUCGUGUCGUGAGAUGUUGGGUUAAGUCCCGCAACGAGCGCAACCCUUAUGGUCAGUUACUACGCAAGAGGACUCUGGCCAGACUGCCGUUGACAAAACGGAGGAAGGUGGGGAUGACGUCAAAUCAUCAUGCCCUUUAUGACUUGGGCUACACACGUACUACAAUGGCGUUAAACAAAGAGAAGCAAGACCGCGAGGUGGAGCAAAACUCAGAAACAACGUCCCAGUUCGGACUGCAGGCUGCAACUCGCCUGCACGAAGUCGGAAUUGCUAGUAAUCGUGGAUCAGCAUGCCACGGUGAAUACGUUCCCGGGCCUUGUACACACCGCCCGUCACACCAUGAGAGCCGGGGGGACCCGAAGUCGGUAGUCUAACCGCAAGGAGGACGCCGCCGAAGGUAAAACUGGUGAUUGGGGUGAAGUCGUAACAAGGUAGCCGUAGGAGAACCUGCGGCUG
rnacentral:rRNA from 1 species